rnacentral:rRNA from 1 species
UGGGGAAUAUUGGACAAUGGGCGAAAGCCUGAUCCAGCCAUGCCGCGUGUGUGAAGAAGGUCUUCGGAUUGUAAAGCACUUUAAGUUGGGAGGAAGGGCAGUAAGCGAAUACCUUGCUGUUUUGACGUUACCUACAGAAUAAGCACCGGCUAACUCUGUGCCAGCAGCCGCGGUAAUACAGAGGGUGCAAGCGUUAAUCGGAAUUACUGGGCGUAAAGCGCGCGUAGGUGGUUCGUUAAGUUGAAUGUGAAAGCCCCGGGCUCAACCUGGGAACUGCAUCCAAAACUGGCGAGCUAGAGUAGGGCAGAGGGUAGUGGAAUUUCCUGUGUAGCGGUGAAAUGCGUAGAUAUAGGAAGGAACACCAGUGGCGAAGGCGACCACCUGGGCUCAUACUGACACUGAGGUGCGAAAGCGUGGGGAGCAAACAGG